GAUGAAGAACGCAGCGAAAUGCGAUAAGUAAUGUGAAUUGCAGAAUUCAGUGAAUCAUCGAAUCUUUGAACGCACCUUGCGCCCUUUGGCUAUUCCGAAGGGCAUGCCUGUUUGAGUAUCGUGAACACCUCAACUCUCAUGGUCUGCCAUGAUGAGCUUGGACUUUGGGGGUCUUGCCGGCCUAGCGUCGGCUCCUCUCAAAUGGAUCAGCUUGCCAGUGUUUGGUGGCAUCACAGGUGUGAUAACUAUCUACGCUUGUGGUUUUCUACCAUGUAACCUUCAGCGAUGGAGGUUUGCUGGGGCUCACAGACGUCUCUCCUUGGAGGACAGCUUUUUGAACGUUUGAUCUCAAAUCAGGUAGGACUACCCGCUGAACUUAAGCAUAUCAAUAAGCGGAUGA
rnacentral:misc_RNA from 1 species